ACAGCGUUAUCUACAAUGACUUCGAUGAAUAUAAAUAGAGCUUUUCGGCAAUACCCGGACACUCUUCAAAUCUCCUUGGUAUUGUCAACUUCUUCGUUUUGGUUAUACCUCUUUAACGUGUCAUUUCGAAAUGAAAUUUCUCCAGUUAUUUAUCUUCUUCACUUUUUUCAUUUCUGUCACUUUGGCGCAGACAUAUGAAGGAUGCAAGAUGUCCGGUAGAUGUGAUAAAAAUUUGAAGAGGGGAUCGCCUUGCUGCGAUGACUAUAAAUGCACGCAUAUAUAUAACCAAUUGUAUCAGUGCAUAUCAACAGCCCCUAAGUCAGAAGACGAUUAUUUAUGGGGGUAGUUAAAAUGUACACCAUUAUGUACUUAUUAUAGCCAACAGCUAUAAAUAUUACAUACACACGAGAUAAAUAAAGCUCAAUUGAAAUG